GAAUCUUAUGCAGACCCCUCCUUGCGACUAGUGAAACCUAUUGAUAUUUUCGAGACACGGAAAUAAAAAGGAAGAAAGCUUCAGAAGAGGAAAAGAGAGAAUUUGAGGAGUGCUAAAAUACAGGCACCGCUGAAAAGUACUAGAGUGAAAUGAAAUGUUAAAAUACACAGUGUUCUACUUUAAGCAUCGACCGUCCUGACGUUCCACUGACUUUCAUUGCAUUGAUGAAACUACACCAUCGUAUACACAGCACUUUCAGAGUAUGAAAUUUUAAUAAUACCAUUUCUGUGAGAAGUAGCCAUUUAUAGACACAAAUAGUCCAUUUAUAGAUUAUAAACUUAUUAUGCUUACUAAAUUGUGUAAUUGAGAACACGAUAUAAUGUUAUACUAUUAGCAAUAUUAGAGAAAGAAGAAACAAAGAUAUUAGAGAACACAGAAAUCUAGAAAUUACAAUGUAAACUGUACUUACUGUCGAAUACAAGCAUCAAGAUUGCAAAUAUAAAGAUCAAAUAAGACUGAUAACAAAUCUAGUAAUUAUGAAAAAUUCAUAGUUUACAUGUUUAAUGUAUUAAAAAUAGCCGAGACAUAGCAGCUAUCUGUUAGACAGGAUUACGUACUAUCAGAGUACUUCGUUUACAAAAUAUUUAUCGAAAAGAUGGGAACAAUAUGAAAUAUACAAAAGUGAAAGGUUAUAGUAAGGAAAUAGAAUAAGUAAAUUAUAUAAUUUCUUAGAAUAUCUAAAUGCAUAUUUCAUUAUGGUAUCUCUUAUUGGAGGAACAAAAAGCAGAGAAAUGCCAUUAAAAAUUAAAUUCGCACGAGUUAUUUGAAGAAGCUGAGUCAUUGUAAAAAAAAA